UACGGAGGGUGCGAGCGUUGUCCGGAAUCAUUGGGCGUAAAGGGCGCGUAGGUGGCGGGACAAGCGUGCGGUGAAAGCCUGGGGCUCAACCCCGGGUCGGCCGUGCGAACUGUUUUGCUUGAGCACUGUAGAGGCAGGCGGAAUUCCGGGUGUAGCGGUGGAAUGCGUAGAGAUCCGGAAGAACACCGGUGGCGAAAGCGCUCUACUGGACCGCAACUGACACUCAGGGACGAAAGCUAGGGGAGCGAAUGGG
rnacentral:rRNA from 1 species